rnacentral:lncRNA from 1 species
UUUUCGUCAGUGUUGUUCGUUUCAUAAUUAUUGUUAGAAGCGUUUUCACAUUUUACUGACGUAUUUGAAUAUUUUAUCAAUAAAGUAAGUUAAAACGAUUAUGUGUUAUAAAAUUGAGAAUGGAAAUGGUGAAUUUGUCAAAGAGAGAACAACCCGACCAUAGAACAGACAACAGCAGAAGGUCACCAAUAGGUCUUCAAUAUGUUGGUGUCUCUUUGGAGGUUGUAGUCUACUAUAUUGAAGUAGAAUGAGUAUUUAGUGACGUGAUUAAAAACAAACAACGGCAGAAGCCCGACCAAGAAACCAGACAAGAAACUAUACAUUUGUAUCCUUUCAAUUUAGCUAAUAAAUAAGGAGAUAUUUAUAUGAGUGCCAAUGAGACAAAUUUCCGUCCAAGUCACAAUAUAUAAAAAGUUUACAAUAAUUGUAAAAACAUAU